GCAAACUUGGUCAUUUAGAGGAAGUAAAAGUCGUAACAAGGUUUCCGUAGGUGAACCUGCGGAAGGAUCAUUAACGUACCUCUUGACGGGGAGGGCGCGCCCGGCUCCGGUCUCUGUGACCGUGCAGCGGGCGCCCCGAUCCGCUCAACCUUUGCAAAACCCACCGUGCACCUUUGUCGGCUGCGGAGGAGGGGCCGCUGCGGCCCGCCUCUGCGUGCCGGAUCACAAACCACAUGUUCUUAAAAGAAUGAGAAGCGGACAGAGUGCCGCCUAAAGUAAUGACAACUUUCAACAACGGAUCUCUUGGCUCUCGCAUCGAUGAAGAACGCAGC
rnacentral:misc_RNA from 1 species